rnacentral:rRNA from 2 species
AAAUUGAAGAGUUUGAUCAUGGCUCAGAUUGAACGCUGGCGGCAGGCCUAACACAUGCAAGUCGAACGGUAACAGGAAGAAGCUUGCUUCUUUGCUGACGAGUGGCGGACGGGUGAGUAAUGUCUGGGAAACUGCCUGAUGGAGGGGGAUAACUACUGGAAACGGUAGCUAAUACCGCAUAACGUCGCAAGACCAAAGAGGGGGACCUUCGGGCCUCUUGCCAUCGGAUGUGCCCAGAUGGGAUUAGCUAGUAGGUGGGGUAACGGCUCACCUAGGCGACGAUCCCUAGCUGGUCUGAGAGGAUGACCAGCCACACUGGAACUGAGACACGGUCCAGACUCCUACGGGAGGCAGCAGUGGGGAAUAUUGCACAAUGGGCGCAAGCCUGAUGCAGCCAUGCCGCGUGUAUGAAGAAGGCCUUCGGGUUGUAAAGUACUUUCAGCGGGGAGGAAGGGAGUAAAGUUAAUACCUUUGCUCAUUGACGUUACCCGCAGAAGAAGCACCGGCUAACUCCGUGCCAGCAGCCGCGGUAAUACGGAGGGUGCAAGCGUUAAUCGGAAUUACUGGGCGUAAAGCGCACGCAGGCGGUUUGUUAAGUCAGAUGUGAAAUCCCCGGGCUCAACCUGGGAACUGCAUCUGAU